rnacentral:rRNA from 1 species
UACGGCGAGUGAAGAGGGAAUAGUUCAGCAUGGAAAUUGGGACCCUCGGUCUUGAAUUGUAGUCUCGAGAUGCAUUACCAACAGAGGCGCAGGUGUAAGCCUUCUGGAAAGGAGCACCACUUAGGGUGAGAGUCCCGUUUGUCACCUGCAGUCCGCUGUGUAAGGUGUGCCUUCUCUGAGUCACGCUCCUCGGAACUGGAACGCAAAUUGGGUGGUAAAUUUCAUCUAAAACUCAAUAUAGGGUUGAGACCGAUAGCAAACAAGUACCAUGAGGGAAAGGUGAAAAGGACUUUGAAAAGAGAGUUAAAAGUGCCUGAAAUCGCUGAAAAGGAAGCGAAUGGAGUCAGCAAUGCUUGGCGAAAUCUUUGGCGCACUGGCGUGAGUGCUCGCUGCUUCAGCGCAAGUUGAGUGGCAGCUUCGAGCGUCGUGUGCGCUGUGUCUUUGGCCUUGCGCGUCAAUGCCAGUCCGCAAACGGAGAAAUCCUUGGGGACAUGUCAACUCCUCGUGAGGAGUGAAUGUGCCCUCUGGAACCCAUUUGCGAACUGAUGGGUGGGUGUCUGGUUGCAGUGCUCUGUCUCACAGGGCUCUCCCUGACACUCCAACAGCGACCAAAUGAUUCCAUUCGACCCGUCUUGAAACACGGACCAAGGAGUCUAACAUAUGUGCAAGUCCAAGGGUGGUAAACCUUCGGGCGCAAUGAAAGUGACGGCUGGGAUUUUUGCACCAGCAACCGACCAAGCAACUGAGUGAGGUUUGGGUAUGAGCAUAUCUGUUAGGACCCGAAAGAUGGUGAACUAUGCCUGAGAAGGGCAAAGCUCAGGGGAAACUNUGAUGGAGGCUCGUAGACGGUAACUGACGUGCA